UACGUAGGGGGCAAGCGUUGUCCGGAUUUAUUGGGCGUAAAGAGCGUGUAGGCGGUUAGGUAGGUCCGUUGUGAAAACUCGAGGCUCAACCUCGAGACGCCGAUGGAAACCAUCUGACUAGAGUCCGGAAGAGGAGAGUGGAAUUCCUGGUGUAGCGGUGAAAUGCGUAGAUAUCUGGAGGAAUACCGGUGGCGAAGGCGGCAUCCUGGACCGAGAUUGACGCUGAUGAGCGAAAGCUAGGGGAGCAAACGGG
rnacentral:rRNA from 1 species